AGUUUGAUCAUGGCUCAGAUUGAACGCUGGCGGAAUGCUUUACACAUGCAAGUCGAGCGGCAGCGCGGGGCAACCUGGCGGCGAGCGGCGAACGGGUGAGUAACACAUCGGAACAUGUCCAUUCGUGGGGGAUAGCCCGGCGAAAGCCGGAUUAAUACCGCAUACGCCCCGAGGGGGAAAGCGGGGGACUUCGCAAGAGGCCUCGCGCGAAUGGGUUGGCCGAUGGCCGAUUAGCUAGUUGGCGGGGUAAAGGCCCACCAAGGCGAUGAUCGGUAGCUGGUCUGAGAGGAUGAUCAGCCACACUGGGACUGAGACACGGCCCAGACUCCUACGGGAGGCAGCAGUGGGGAAUUUUGGACAAUGGGGGCAACCCUGAUCCAGCCAUUCCGCGUGAGUGAAGAAGGCCUUCGGGUUGUAAAGCUCUUUUGUCCGGAACGAAACGGUGGACGUGAAUAGCGUCCGCUACUGACGGUACCGGAAGAAUAAGCACCGGCUAACUACGUGCCAGCAGCCGCGGUAAUACGUAGGGUGCGAGCGUUAAUCGGAAUUACUGGGCGUAAAGCGUGCGCAGGCGGUUUUGUAAGCCAGAUGUGAAAGCCCCGGGCUUAACCUGGGAAUG
rnacentral:rRNA from 1 species